rnacentral:rRNA from 1 species
GAUGAACGCUGGCGGCGUGCCUAAUACAUGCAAGUCGAGCGAACAGACGAGGAGCUUGCUCCUCUGACGUUAGCGGCGGACGGGGGAGUAACACGUGGAUAACCUACCUAUAAGACUGGGAUAACUUCGGGAAACCGGCGCUAAUACCGUAUAAUAUAUUGAACCGCAUGGUUCAAUAGUGAAAGACGGUUUUGCUGGCACUUCUAGAUGGAUACGCGCCGCAUUAGCUAGUUGGUAAGGUAACCGCUUUCCAAGGGAACGAUUCGUAGCCGAACUGAGAGGGUGAUCGGCCACACUGGAAUGGAGCCACGGUCCAGAGUACUACGGGAGGAAGCAGUAGGGAAUCGUACGAAAUGGGCGAAAGCUUGACGCAGCAACCCCGCGUGAGUGAUGAAGAUCUCCGGAUCGUAAAACUCUGUUAUUAGGGAAGAACAAAUGUGUAAGGAACUAUGCACGUCUUGACGGUACCUAAUAAGAAAGCCACGGCUAACUACGUG